rnacentral:rRNA from 1 species
UACGUAGGGGGCGAGCGUUGUCCGGAUUUAUUGGGCGUAAAGAGCUCGUAGGCGGUUUGGUAAGUUGGAUGUGAAAUCUCCAGGCUCAACUUGGAGGGGUCAUUCGAUACUGCCAUGACUAGAGUUCGGUAGGGGAGUGUGGAAUUCCUGGUGUAGCGGUGAAAUGCGCAGAUAUCAGGAGGAACACCGGUGGCGAAGGCGGGUCUCUGGGCCGUAACUGACGCUGAGGAGCGAAAGCAUGGGGAGCGAACAGG